CAGUCGCCACGGUAAUACAGAGGGUGCAAGCGUUAAUCGGAUUUACUGGGCGUAAAGGGCGCGUAGGUGGUUAUUUAAGUGAGAUGUGAAAGCCCCGGGCUUAACCUGGGAACUGCAUCUUAUACUGGGUAACUGGAGUGCAGUAGAGGGUAGUGGAAUUUCCGGUGUAGCGGUGAAAUGCGUAGAUAUCGGAAGGAACACCAGUGGCGAAGGCGGCUACCUGGACUGAGACUGACACUGAGGCGCGAGAGCGUGGGGAGCAAACAGGAUUAGAUACCCCAGUAGUCCCUGUCUCUUAUAC
rnacentral:rRNA from 1 species